CAACCUGAAAGACCCCGGGGGGGAGAAAAAAGUAUCGAGCAUUAGCUUAAACCAUAGCAGUAGAAAUGCAAGUUUGCAUUGCUUUUCUUCCCUACUUAAGAGUGUUAUUCACUUUAAAUAUCAAACAAAAAUGUGUCACAGAAAAGUUCAGCGGUAGUGCGUUAUGGGCAAACAGUGAAGAAUGGCCACUAUACAAAGCUAAAGGAGACCCUAUCAGGGUAAAAGAGAGAAAAAACACUUUGAAUUUAGAUAUUUCUGUUUUAAAAUUUCUAGCUAGUUAUACAGAUUACAAAUUGCCCUUCAUUCAGACCCGUCAGUUUCACUUUUUGUUCAGAUGGUUUCCCUUUCUGGUUCCUGUGCACUAGCACACGGUUGCAAAAACAAGAUAACUGGUCACUGACAUUUAGACAGAUUUAUUAACUCAUCAGAUUUUGUAAGAUCCAGUAUAUGUUGCUCCAGCCAUAGCUAAAUAGGCUUUAUAUUAAUUCCUUGUUUUCAGUGGCACAGCCAGGGGAGUGGUAGGGAAAACUGCAUGCUUAACUAGGGCAGCUCCAGCUUUUAAAACACAUUAACUCAUAUCUGUCUAAACAUGGUAACUCAGAAAAUAAAUUCUAAUCACACUGUACACUAUGUCCUAUUAUCUGUGCUUUUGUCACCUUAUUAGAUACUGUUGUGUGUUCUAGAUGGGAUACAUGUUGACAUCAUUUGGAAACUGAAGCUAACAGCAUGGGGCCACUGUGUUUACUAAGAAAAGCAUCACAAAGGGAGCACCUAACUCCAGUGUUCUAGUAUCUGAAGUAGCCAUCAAAAAGUUUCCAGGCAAUGGUCAAAGUGUUGGUAUUAGCCUAUAACAGAGUUGAUGAGUGCAGGGAAAGCAGCAGCAGGCGGAGAGGAGGAAACCAAAGAGAAGCACAGAAAUACAAUGGCAGCACGCGGACCCCAGAGGAGGCUGGUACAGUAGAAGAUGCUGCAGGAGAACCAAAAGGAAGACUUCCUCUUUUGCUAAAAGACCCUCUCCCCCACAGCAGUUCACCUUCUGGGUGGCUUAGUGAGCAAAUCCUCUUGCCAAACACUGACACUCUCUGAAGUCUCUGGUUGCAAUCAAGCAGGGUCAAUGCAGCCCUUUGCAGUACCACACAGUUUACUCUGGAGGUCCCUUUUGGAGGAUAACAUAAUAAUACUCAAAUAUACCUGCAGAUACCUUAAGGAUCCUAUGGUGCACUUUGUGCAAGGUCCAGGUCUCGCCCCUAGUGUGGCUGUUCAACACUCCCUCCGGCAGCACUAGCUAGCACCUCCACCCUAAAGGUGGCAGCAUUUCAACAGUGCAGUAUGUGUAGGGCUCAAGUUAAAGGGCCCAGUUUUAUAAAAUAACUUACAUUUCUAGAGUACCUUUCACUUUGAAGGAUCCCAGAGCAAUCAGCUACAUACUAACCAGAAUCAUUGCACCCUUCUGCAAUGCAGCCGCAAUAGUACUGAAUGUGAGAUUUUCUAACCAAGACAUCUAUUCUUUCAGAAUAGGCUAUGUACAUAUAUUUACACUGGUGCAAUUCCCAGCUUGGGUUAGACACACUUGCGUUAGCUCUAAUUGAGUUAGUGUGCUCACAUGGGUAUGUACUUGGGACAGCGUGGAAUUCCAUCCAUCUACCUCAAAAAGAUGAAGGGAUAAAUUUCCCGUCUACCAAGAUUUAUAUUGCGCUCGUCCCUUGGAUAGCCAAGCACCUUUUAUUCUAAAAAAAAAUACAUUAAUUUCUCUUGAUCCUGCCAGACUUUGAACUUGUUCUAGAGUCAACAUAUUCCAUACCUGAUGCUUAGGUAACAUAAUAGUUAAGCAACCUUUUUUAAAGAUAAAAAUCAACUUUUACAACAAAGCAGCCAAUCAAUUGAGGUUUUAUAGAUAAUCACUUAUUUCUGCACAGAGGAAAAAAAAUGGAGAAAAACUAUCAAUUUGGAUUCAGUUUAUCUGUCAAGUUGCAGUCGGAUGACAAUUAAUAUCCUAAUUAAUAAACCUCUAAAACACAUAAAAGAGAACACCAGAUACCACAAGUCAGCCCUAAAGGUACAAAAGAUUUUAAG